CCUACGGGAGGCAGCAGUGGGGAAUAUUGGGCAAUGGGCGAAAGCCUGACCCAGCAACGCCGCGUGAAGGAAGAAGGCUUUCGGGUUGUAAACUUCUUUUGACAGGGAAGAGCAGAAGACGGUACCUGUCGAAUAAGCCACGGCUAACUACGUGCCAGCAACCGCGGUAAUACGUAGGGGGCAAGCGUUAUCCGGAUUUACUGGGUGUAAAGGGAGCGUAGACGGCCAGACAAGUCAGAAGUGAAAGCCCAGGGCUCAACCUUGGGACUGCUUUUGAAACUGCCGGGCUGGAGUGCAGGAGAGGUAAGCGGAAUUCCUGGUGUAGCGGUGAAAGGCGUAGAUAUUAGGAGGAACACCAGUGGCGAAGGCGGCUUACUGGACUGUAACUGACGUUGAGGCUCGAAAGCGUGGGAGCAAACAGGAUUAGAUACCCCUGUAGUC
rnacentral:rRNA from 1 species